UACGUAGGGGGCAAGCGUUGUCCGGAUUUAUUGGGCGUAAAGAGCUCGUAGGUGGUUCGGUAAGUCGGAUGUGAAAUCUCCAGGCUCAACCUGGAGGGGUCAUUCGAUACUGCCGUGACUAGAGUUCGGUAGGGGAGUGUGGAAUUCCUGGUGGAGCGGUGAAAUGCGCAGAUAUCAGGAGGAACACCCGUUGCGAAGGCGGCACUCUGGGCCGAUACUGACACUGAGGCGCGAAAGCUAGGGGAGCAAACAGG
rnacentral:rRNA from 1 species